GCAUAUUAUGUGUUUUAUUCAUAAACCGUCGAAUAUAGUUCAAAUAGACAUUCAAAAUAUUGAAAGAUUUGCAAUAAGAAUAAAUUUCUCUAGUUCAUUUCAGGAUGACAACAGAAACAAACAUGACAGUUCAUUUGAGCUUGUGAUUCCCUGUUUUGUUGCAGACGAACAUUCUCAUUUCACGAGCAUCAUAGAAAGUGCCAUAGGUGGAAGUGCCCUACUAAGCGUCAUUUAUGUAUCGACAUGUUUUAUUUUGAAAAAGAAAGAAAUCAAACGUCUCAUCGAUAGUUUGAAGAUUUUUGAAGAUUAUCUUCCUGAAGAUGAGAUAGACAAAGCAGAAAAAUCCGCUAAAUUCUAUACCAAAACAUUCCUAUUUUAUGGAAUCAUCGGAAAUGGUCUAUAUGAAUCUUCUCCAUUCAUGUCCUUUAAAGAAUGCAGAGGAGAGAGAACCCAACAAAUGAUUAAAUUGGGAAUACCCUGUAAAGUAAUUGUGAGGUAUGUGCUUCCAUUCAAAUACGACACAACGCCUUUUUACGAGCUGGUUAUUCUAGAACAAGUUGCAGUAGCUAUUUUAGGAACUAUUCUUGUGAUGACUAUCUCGAUGUUAGUUUGUGGAAUAUUGACUCAUAUUGCUUCAAAUCUUAGUUAUCUUAAAAAGAUAAUUGAAGACAUAUCCAGAGUUGAAGAGCCUCAGCUGAAAGAUCACGUCAACUUAUGUAUCAAAUAUCACACUAUUAUUUUGGAGAUUUCAGAUAAGACCAAUAACGCAUUCGAGGGUAUGAUGCUGAUUCACAUAACUUGGACUAGUUUCAUAAUAAGUGUAUUAGGAUUUGGAAUAAUCAUGGAAUCGAAUUUUUGGAAUAACCUGAGAGUACCGACAUUUCUGAAGCGAUAUACGGAACAAAGUGGUAUGAAAAAAAUCCAAAUAUACGAAGAGCGCUCACAUUACUUUUAUUACGUUCACAAAGACCUCUAGUAUUGAAAGCGGCAGGAUUAAGAAUAAUGUCUUUGUCUACUUUCUUAGGUGUUCUCUACUCUGCAUAUUCAUAUUUCACACUUCUUCUGAAGAUCAAGCCAUAGAAUUCCAUCACUGAGAAAAGAUUAUCAACACAAACAGGACUCGAAUGGGAUUGAGUGACACAUAAAUAGUUGGCUUUUUUAGAUAUCACUUUGAAAUAAAA
rnacentral:misc_RNA from 1 species